UACGUAGGGGGCAAGCGUUGUCCGGAAUCAUUGGGCGUAAAGAGCGUGUAGGCGGCCCGAUAAGUCCGCUGUGAAAGUCCAGGGCUCAACCCUGGAAUGCCGGUGGAUACUGUCGGGCUCGAAUCCGGAAGAGGUGAGUGGAAUUCCUGGUGUAGCGGUGAAAUGCGCAGAUAUCAGGAGGAACACCAAUGGCGAAGGCGGCCUGCUGGGCAGUUUAGCUGACACUGAGGCGCGACAGCGUGGGGAGCAAACAGG
rnacentral:rRNA from 1 species